rnacentral:rRNA from 1 species
CUACGGGGUGCUCCAGUGGGGAAUAUUGGACAAUGGGGGGAACCCUGAUCCAGCCAUGCCGCGUGUGUGAAGAAGGCCUUUUGGUUGUAAAGCACUUUAAGCGAGGAGGAGGCUACCUAGAUUAAUACUUUAGGAUAGUGGACGUUACUCGCAGAAUAAGCACCGGCUAACUCUGUGCCAGCAGCCGCGGUAAUACAGAGGGUGCGAGCGUUAAUCGGAUUUACUGGGCGUAAAGCGUGCGUAGGCGGCCAAUUAAGUCAAAUGUGAAAUCCCCGAGCUUAACUUGGGAAUUGCAUUCGAUACUGGUUGGCUAGAGUAUGGGAGAGGAUGGUAGAAUUCCAGGUGUAGCGGUGAAAUGCGUAGAGAUCUGGAGGAAUACCGAUGGCGAAGGCAGCCAUCUGGCCUAAUACUGACGCUGAGGUACGAAAGCAUGGGGAGCAAACAGGAUUAGAUACCCCUGUAGUC